rnacentral:misc_RNA from 1 species
UAAUAAGUGUUUUAUGGCACUUUUUAAAUCCAUAUCCACCUUGUGUGCAAUGUCAGUCGAUCUUCUUAUUGGAGAUCGACCAAACAUCAACCUUUAUUUUUAACUCUUGUCUGAAAAUAUUAUGAAUAAACAAUUCAAAUA